UCCCUGGUGGCUCAGACAGUAGAGCGUCUGCCUGCAAUGCAGGAGGCCUGGGUUCAAUCCCUGGGUCGGGAA
rnacentral:tRNA from 1 species